GACGGCAGCCGGGUGACGCUACUCAUCUACUACCCCUUCCCCUAGGAGUCGCCAGUAAAAAAAACAAACAAACAAAAACAAACAAACAAACAAACAGCCGAACUCUUUUCACUGAGGACCGGUCUGAGGCGGAACGUCGCAACCACUCGGACCCUUCCUCUGCCCACGCACAGGUGCCAACUCUUAGAAGGAGGACCGAUGGCCCAAAUUCUUUUGAGCCCCCAAUUUUAACCUUGAUCGAGCAUUUCGACCUGAAUCAGAUGACCUAAUGUAUGGAAAGCGUCUUGCCAACUUGAAAGUUCUAUUUAUAAAAUAACAAGAGUUAACGUUGCGAGUAACCUCGGCUUAUAAAUGGAGCCUCCAGCCAGCCGGAUAACUCCCUGAUAGUAUACUUAUAGAAUUAUAUACAUCUAUUUCAAGAUACAUCACCCUGCAUUUAAAAAUCAUAAAUAUGUGUCAGUGGACUGCUCAGAUGUCUAUGAACAUAUAGAGAAGUUUCCGGGGUUAUAUAGAAAACACCUACCAAGAUAUUACUCACCUUCACAUAUUUGUAUUUUCAAGACAGACUAGCCUCCUUCGCUGCCCUCACAACUCGGUAUUCUACCUCCUUUCUUCGAGGCCUUGGCAAUAAGCAGCCCCACUUUGCCUGGAAUCUUGCUCCUGCCUCAUUUCAUCUCCUGGGGGCCCCCAGUUUCCUUCAGGCUCAGCUCAGGGGCCACCUUCUCCAGGAAAACGAGUUCUCAUCCGCUGGUCGUUAGGGAGCCCUUCUUCCUUCCCAACUGCAACAUUUGCAAUUACCUGUUUAUAGGCACCCAGGUAGAAUGUAAGCUCUAGGAGGGCAGGUCGAGGUUUCGUGGUGGAACACCGUAGGGGCUCCAUAAAGCUUGUUGGAUUGGAGCUUUAGGGUGUAUCCAGGGAACAACGACCCCUCACUCAUCCCGGAACCUGCCUAGCAUCAAGAGAUUUCUCCCUAGGGGCCCUCCAAUGCAUUUCACUCAAUAGAGCAAGUGGGAGAGGGAAGUCAGCAGCCAAGACUGUCCCUGCCCUCCCUGAGAAGUUCCGUGCUGAAACCUUGUCCUAAGAGGAGAAUUCUGGGAGUUGCUUUCCUUUUCCUUCCUCCCACCUGCUAAUACAGAAGGAUUUUCAGGCUUCAACAGAUUUCCAAAGGCUUGAUCCAAGACACACACAAAAAGGCUAAAACCCCCUAUUCUAAGACUAUUAUAAAUGACUGACCGGCAUUGCUGGGGGAUUUUCUUCAUCUUAAAUCUAAGCAGAGCAAGGUCCAGCCCCUAUUCCCUAUCCAAAAAAGCUAGCAGGAGGUAGCUUAAUGUGAAAGCUUAAUAGUAAAAGAAGCAGCUUAAGAAGGUGAUGGGAACUACUGUCUAGGUAGGCAGAAGAGGGGCAAGAAGCUCACAAAGACUGGAGAAGGAAGGACCUCUGGGAACUCUCAUGGAAUGCGAAGUGGAAGAAGAAGUCAGAAGAUUUCAAAUUGGAGGAUGAAGCCAUCAAAGGGGCUGAGGUGGUGGUUUUCUUCCCAUUGGACUGAGAAGCUGGAGCCAGACUCAGUCAAAUUGAUUGAGCCCAACAUAGGGGAAAGGAGUAGGGGCUUAAUUAGUUGGAAGGAGACAGUGAAAAGGGAAGGUGUUUCAGAGAAAAGAAUGACAAGAGUUUGGGAAGAGAUUGGAAGCGAAAAGAAGGAAAUAAAAAUGUUUAUUAGGGUCUCUUUCAGUGCUCAAGCAGCAGAACGAGGAGAAGUUAAGAAGAAUAAUUCUAAAGCAUAUAUAAAAGUUUCAUUUUUGGUUUCUCUAGAAAUACUAUUUCUAAAACCCUUUCUAAGCUUUUCCCUUUAGGAAAGAGGGCAUUACAAAAUCUAGUAACUUUCCUUAGGAAAUGGGUUAAAGAUGACCAAAUUAGGCAAUCAAAUUUAACUCAUCUGGAUAAGAUUAAAGCUUUUCCCAACCUUGAA